rnacentral:lncRNA from 10 species
GUGACAUCCAUUUGGUCGGUUAUGACUAACCCUUAGAAGAAUAGCAUAGCGCAGCACAGCACAACAGAAACUAUCAGAAUGCAUCAAAUGUCACAAAGGCUCUCCUACCAGGAUGACAAAAAUCGGCAACUGAUGCUCCCAGAGGAGGACAAGAGGGACAUCCGGCAAUCUCCAAAGAGGGGUUUCCUCCGCUCUGCCUCACUAGGUCAAAGAGCCUCCUUCCACCUGGAAUGUCUGAAGUGACAGAAGGACCGAGGGGGAGACAUCUCUCAGAAGACAGUCCUGCCCUUGCAUCUGGUUCAUCAUCAGUUCAUGGAGGGACGUGUUCAGCUCACUCACCUACAGUGACCAGUGUGGUGG